GCCGGGCAUGGGAGCUCAUGCCUGUAAUCCCAGCACUGUGGGAGGCCUAGACAGGAGGAUCACUUGAGCCCAGGAGUUCAAGGUUGCCGUGAGCUAUGAUUGCACCACUGCACUCCAGCCUGGGAGACAGAGUGAGACCCUGUCUUUA
rfam:Homo sapiens chromosome 17, GRCh38 reference primary assembly.